rnacentral:tRNA from 1 species
GGAGCUGUAGCUCAAGCGGCUAGAGCGCCGGCGUGUCAGGCCGGAGGUCGGGGGUUCGAGUCUCCCCAGCUUCG